GGCUAGGGUCCGAUAUUGAUAGUGAAUUUGCGCGAGUACUAAUUACUCACCCUUGAACGAAACACCCAUUGAGAUAAUCAGGGUGGACCUUCAGAUCAAGAUCAUGGAAGUUGAUGCGGAAUGGAGGGGACAUAAAUUUGACUCAUACGUAUAGUCGAAACAAAUUAAGAACCGAAAAUUUGUGGCGUUUGGAAUGGGUUCAUGUAAGCGGGACCCGGAGACGGAGUGUCCUCCCAAAAGUUUGAGAAGUAGAUAAUUGAGGGUCCUGGGCGUAGCUGCCCUGCAUCCAAUUGAUAAUUACAGAAGAAUAAUGUCGAUGACAUCGUUUAUCUGUUCUUCACCCUGUUCUUGGUUUUCUGCUCCCCUUUAUUUUGCUCCGAACUGCCGGGCUCCGACAGCGGUGAAUCUUAAUGCCGGAAUUAAAGGCUUGGGAAGGCCAAUGGUGUGGCUGCAACUGUCGUUCCGGAGAUCAUCAACAGCCAUUGUCACACCCUCUUUUCUUUCGAUUUCUGCAGCGCUUCAAGGCCCGCUGGAUUUGACCGAAGACAACGUCAAGCAAGUCUUGGCCGAUGCUCGGCUGGAGCUUGCACAGAUAUUUGACACCUCAGUUGGCAUAACUGGACAAGCUGAGCUUGCUGAACUGGAUGGACCCUUUGUGAAGAUCAGUCUCCGUGGUCGUUUUUGGCAUAGACGUACCCUAGUUUUGGCCAGACUUGGCAGUUAUUUGAAGAGCAGAAUACCUGUAAGUGACGUCUUAAUUUUCAUAUUUCUGUUUAUCAGCGUUGAAGAUCAAUUGUCAAAGGUAUGUAGAUUUCCCCCUCUUUAGUAAUUGCAUGCCAAUUUUUUUUUUUCCUUUCUUUUUUUUUCCGUGUAGGAAAUCUUGGAGGUAAGUAUAGAAGAUGAGCAACAAUUGGAUGACAGCCCUGAAAAUUUUUGAACCUUCUGUUCACAUUUCAUUGUGCUAAAUACAAUAUUGAAGUUCAGCAUCCCUGUGCGCAUCCUAUUGGAGUGUGUGCAGCAUAGGACUGCAUGCCUACCACGUGAAGUCACAGGAGCCCAUGCCCAUCUGUUGCCUACACCUAUGCUUGCUCCCAUGCCCAAAUGUAGUAGCCCAUCUCGCUAAGAAGCUUGCAGCCAUGUGAAGUUUGCAGCAGCUCCAUGCCACCCAUGUGAAUGUUGCCAGUGGUCUAACAAAUCGACCAGCGCAUCCCCAGUCUCCAUUAUUUGAGCAAUCCAUCGAAUGCCUAUAAAAGGACAUGUUUGCGGUUCCAAAAAAAAAAAAUAGAAUUCGAAGCAUUUCUAUUUUUCUAGUUUCUUUUAUUGUAAUUAGAGAGAUUUAUAUACUUCUAAUUCAAGAAAAAGAUAUCAUUAUUCUCUUCUUAUAAUUAGAGAGAAGUUGUA